AUGAAAGCAAGAAUUAAAGAGGUAGUAUAAUAAUUUUUGAAAUUCAUAUUUAGAAUGAGAAGAUGGCAUGAAAAUUAAACACAUAUUUGGAUGGGUAAUUUUUAUUGUUUGUCCGUAAACUUUAUCUCAUAUUUCACUUUUAUCUCUCAUCUUCAAUUUAUUAUUAAAAAAUUUAUGAACUUUAAUUUUGUUUCAUAAAAAAUUUCUUUAACAUGCAAUAAUAGAUUUUUAAAUUAAAAAAUUCCUCGAAGCUGCAGUGUAACAUCUACAAAUACGGUUUCAAACACUUUCUAAUGAAAGAUAAAUCCUUCUUCUUUCCAAGAAGUAAAUCAUUGUGAAGGCAUUAAUAUUUGUGUGAUAGGUCAACAUAAUAAUUUAACAGAUUAAUUUCUUUUUUUUAGUGUUAGAGAAAAAGAGGUAAAAAGGCUUAUUAUUUUUUUAACUUGAAUAUUUGCUAUAGUGGAUUAGAAAGAUUUUUGUAAAAUAAAAUCAAAGUUCAAAAUUUUUUAGAAAUAAAUUGAAGUUAAGGAACGAAAAUGAAACAUAAAAUAAUGUUUAGGGACGAAUUAUAAAAAUUACCCUAUUUGAAACUAUUAUUACUUGUAGUAAUAAGAGAUAGAUAAUCAAAUGAUUAAUAACCCAAGAAAUGAUAGUUUAAACAAAAAUUUUGUUCUUAAUUAUUUACAUUUUGAUCUUUGUCAGGUUGAUGAGCUUUUAGCUAAAG
rnacentral:misc_RNA from 1 species